GGACAUAUAGUUCUUUUCCCCUCAAGCACCGCCUUUUGUGCCUUUGGACAAUAAAAGUUAGUCUGAAAGGGCAUAUGUGCCGCAUGCUAUGAUACACAAAAUUUUCCUCAUUUUACCCAUCCAUCAGCGGAGGCUAAGCAACCAGGCUACCUAUUUCACAUCAUUAAGUAUUAAAAAGUUUUAUCAUCCACAUGUCAUAAAUUAUUUUCCUAAUUUUGGUAGUUUGUGCAUGCAAUGUAUGGAGCUGUACGUUGGGAUGACAUCAUAUUGCUUCAUUGAUUGGGUGUAUCUCCUUUUGUUGAAGGAUACCUACUCAUUUUUGAUAACUUGUGUAACGUCUGAUGUUCAACUUCUCUUUCUUAUAGCAUGGUUUUACUGGUGGUCUUUGGGAUAUAUGAAUUUUAUCACUUUCAAAUGCAAAAAUGGAUAUUGACGAAUUCUUCAAACAAAAUGAGCUAUUGCUAUAUGAAAAAUUAAGUUUUUUACUUAUUAUUUUAUAAUGGGUGGCAGUAAAACCCGAGCCCAAAACCUCCCCAUGCAGUGAUACUAUGUUGAAGUGUUGACCAUGUCAUCUAAAGUCUUAAACUGUUGCGGAGAGUACAUUAAUAUAGAUUUAUUAUGUCUUUCGACAGUUAUGUUGUCUUGCUCAGGUAGUGAUAAAAGUUAAAAACUCAGUUAUUGCAGCCCUAGGCAUGAGGGCUUGGAAAGAGACACUCAGAAGAUCUCUUUCCAGUAAAACUAGGGGUGCUAAAAGUAGAGUGAUAUCAUUCUCAAUUAAAGUGGAGUGAUACAGUUGUUUUGUUCUCUUGUUGAUGUAAAGAUAAUUAAUUCACUCAAUCGUUGCAAACCCCUAGGCAUAGGGAUCUGGGCCAGAGUCUGAAAUCUUUUUCCUAACCUUGUAUCAAACGGAAGAAGGGCUGCAGAGAUUCAUGUGUGGCUCGAAGACCAGUUUGUUGUGCUGCUCAAGAGGAGAAGAAACAAUGCAAUGCAAUAUUCUUCUUCAUCUUUAUUAUUGUGAUGCACACAAGCUGGUCUGGACACAACUAUUA